rnacentral:rRNA from 1 species
CCUACGGGAGGCAGCAGUGAGGAAUAUUGGUCAAUGGACGAGAGUCUGAACCAGCCAAGUAGCGUGAAGGAUGACUGCCCUAUGGGUUGUAAACUUCUUUUAUAUGGGAAUAAAAUGUUCCACGUGUGGGAUUUUGUAUGUACCAUAUGAAUAAGAAUCGGCUAACUCCGUGCCAGCAGCCGCGGUAAUACGGAGGAUCCGAGCGUUAUCCGGAUUUAUUGGGUUUAAAGGGAGCGUAGGUGGAUUGUUAAGUCAGUUGUGAAAGUUUGCGGCUCAACCGUAAAAUUGCAGUUGAAACUGGCAGUCUUGAGUACAGUAGAGGUGGGCGGAAUUCGUGGUGUAGCGGUGAAAUGCUUAGAUAUCACGAAGAACUCCGAUUGCGAAGGCAGUUCACUGGACUGCAACUGACACUGAGGCUCGAAAGUGUGGGUAUCAAACAGGAUUAGAUACCCGUGUAGUC